GGCCGCGGGAAUUCGAUUCAGGCCUAACACAUGCAAGUCGAGCGGGGUUUUCGGACCUAAAGGCGGACGGGUGAGUAAUGCGUAGGAAGCUACCCGAUAGAGGGGGAUACCAGUUGGAAACGACUGUUAAUACCGCAUAAUGUCUACGGACCAAAGUGUGGGACCUUCGGGCCACAUGCUAUCGGAUGUGCCUACGUGGGAUUAGCUAGUUGGUGAGGUAAUGGCUCACCAAGGCGACGAUCCCUAGCUGGUUUGAGAGGAUGAUCAGCCACACUGGAACUGAGACACGGUCCAGACUCCUACGGGAGGCAGCAGUGGGGAAUAUUG
rnacentral:rRNA from 1 species